UAGAAAAAAAAUCUAUCAGGUUUAGUUACAAAUGAAACAUGUGAAAGAACAGGGCUUUUUUGCUUAAAAGGAUGCAUCUACUUUUAGCUUCUUAUGUCCAAAAAAGGAGUUUUAGGGGCUUUCUCCUUUUCUUAUUACUUCUAUUAAAUUAAAUUUAUCUCUUUAAUUACUUCAAAUUUGCCUGUAUAACAAGUGUCUUCUACCAUGUAGCUAUAAAGACCAAAAUUACAUUGCAUUGACUAUCUUUCUAUUAAAAUUAGCCACAAAUUAAAUAUAUUAAAUAAAACAUGGUUUUUCCCUUCGAUUUUUAUUUCAGAAAAUCCCUAAGUUCAAUUAUGUUCCUUUAAAGAAGGCAUAUUAUCCUGUAAUUAUAUAAAGUUAUCCAGUGACAUUAUAAGUGGAAAUCAUAACAACAUUUGUAGUUGAGUGAACAUCAGUUCCCCGCAUAACUUAAUCUCCCUUCCCAAUACGAUUCGUUAGGUUGAUGAAGUGAUAACGAUUUCAGGACUGACUCAUGUUGCCACUUAAUUUCUAUAAAACACUGAGACCUGUUUUCCCGCUGCUCCAGGGUCGCCAGGGCAUGAAGGGUGAUGCUGGAGAGCCAGGACUUCCAGGCCGGACAGGAACCCCAGGACUACCUGGCCCACCAGGGCCAAUGGGGCCUCCAGGAGAUAGGGUAAGUUCUCUUGGGUGGGGUGUCAUGAUGUUGGAAACAGUAUCACACUGUUGCCUAUUAAUUAAGAGCCCUCGGUAAUUCAGUUUAUGUGGCUGGCAAUGCAGAGUUCACAUAUGUCGCGGAAGGCUGAAAAACUAGUAUAGGUGUACCACCCAACACCAGAUCAGUCUCAAGUUCUAUGAAACAAAAUGGUGGGAUUUUAAAUGAGAUAGAAUUUUACUUUGGGGAAUUUUUUUGUUUGUUUGUUUGAUCUUAUUCAGAGAAAAGAAAUCCCUAAAAGGGAGAUUCAAGAAUCCUAGCAAAUUGCUUUAAAUCCUACAAUGAAAAUCUUUGUUAGGAGGCAUCUUUUAUGUAGCUUUGGGAGUAAUCUUGAUUUCCAUGGCACUUUCUAUGAAGUCAGGGACAUGUUUUCUAUACCUUUAGGACUCAGAUGCUACUUGUGGGCCUCAGUGAUGGAUAGAUACUGGAACUUAGUAGGGGUUUUGGUCAUUUGUGGCGGCUUACAGGUUUGCUCUUGACUUAUGAUGAAAUAGGUACAGGAAACACGUUUUGUUUUAGGACAUGUCACUGAGAAGCACAAUGAACAUGGCUUCUAUACUCUAUUCAAUGUUAUAGAAACAUUUGGUUUCAUAGGAGACUGUGUAUGCUCUAAGAGAUUUCAGAGUUGCUCAAAACCAAGGCACCAAUGACUUGUUAGCAUCUUCUGGUUCAGUCAACAGUCUAAGUGUUGUCUGUAUUCUGACUAAUCAAGUUCAAAAAUAACACUAGUGACACGAUUGGAGAGGGCCCAGGCUAUAGUAGCUGUCACUAAACACAUUGGUUUCUUAACCUCAGUACCUCUGAGACACCAUGGGUGGAAGAGUUGGGUCACUGAGAUGGAGCAAAAAUGUGCCCACAUAACACCAAACUGUGGGUGAUUCACCAGUGAAGUUUGUUUAUGCCUAUGCCGCCUUUGAGUUUAGGAGGGUGUGAGGUCCAAGAGAAGACUGCAUUCUCUGGGAAUCUGAAUCUUGAUGGUAUAUAUAUAUAUAUAUUCUUCUGACUCUUGAGACUGGUGCUUUAGUUUUACAAAGUUCUU
ensembl:lncRNA